CUCCGUGCGCGUCGGCCGCCUUCCUCCCCACCGCGCCGGCCGCGUCCCUCCCCACUGUGCCGUCCACCUUCCUCCCCACCGCGACCACCGCGUCCCUCUCCACUGCGCCGGCCGCAUUCCUCCCCACCGCGUCGGUCGCGUCCUUCCCCACCGAGCCGGCCGCGUCCUGCCCCACCAUGCCGGCAGCCUUCCUCCCCUCCCCGCUUGCUUCGUCUUCCUCGCUCUACCAGCGCCGCCAUCCUCCCUCCACCCUAGCGCCACCCACCUCCCUCACCAGCCGCCCUGCCUUCCUCCACCGACCACUGGCCACCGGAGGUGCGGAUACUGCCUCAACCACCUGCUCCCACCCCCCGCCAUGACCCCUCACCGUUGGGUCGCUGGAUCCCAUCCUCGAGCGCCGGAUCUCGUCGGCCCUGGAGCCGCGCGAACACCGCAGCUCCCAUCUUGGCCCCGGCCGCCAUCCCCCUACCCCCGAGCUCCACUCUAGAAUCCCGCCUUUUACCCCUCAAGCUCCACCGCCGGGAUCCCACUGUUGGUAAGCUCCACGGCCAUCUCCUGCGUUGGGUUGUAUGUGUGUUGCGUGUUGAUGGUAACUGAAGUGAAGGAUUUUCAAAAUAUGAACCACAAGAGAGGUUCACCCUGUACAUCAGCUCAAGAUCCAUCAUGUUAAAUUAUCCUUCGGUCCAAAAUGUAUGAACCACAAAGGGAGCUCAUGUUGCUAUUUCUUUUUGCUAAUGCUCAUUCAAAUCGCAUGCUACUUAUGUGCUAAAUUUGAUGCUCUAUAGUUACUUGUCAAAAUGCCCCUACGAGAACCAAAAUAUUUGUAUAAAAUUUGAUGUUGUUGUUCCUAUAUUCUAUAUGAACCCUGCCUCCAUCAGCUCCACUUCACCAGAGUCGUCAGUCCGCGGGAGUAGGGGUCGCAGGUUCACCCGAUCGCGAGUCUUCUUCCAUCUCCAAAAAUCUUUUUUAGUUCAGAUCUUUGUCACAUAUUUCACUUCUAUUACCUCAGUGCCAAAAGUGCCGAAAGUUGAAAUUGCUUGUGGACCACUAGCUGAAAAAAUUAAGCCAUGUUCUAGUAAGUUAUGUUUAGAGUUCAUACUAUACUAAAUGUCCAAAUUACAUGGUGUGGUCUUCUGUUCAUUCCAUUUCGUUUCCAGUUAACUGUAGCUGAACGUGUGUUGUGUUGAUAUUGAACUUGUGUUUUGGACAAUUCUAAAGUGUUGUGUAUACAACAUGUAUGCACAUUUUGUGUUCAAACAAGUUUUGGUCCAUUUACUGUUUAAACUUGCAUCCUUACUGCCUUGAACUAUGGUCUAGAAAAACUGAACUCAUGCACGUACUUGCUGGUGCAGACUUGGUAGCGGUGAUAUUUUGGUCCGAUUAUAUAUCAACAACAGUGCAAUGACAAAAAGAAUAUCAGUUCAAAAAUGUAUAUGCAUGAGGUUUGGGAGCCAAACAGCUAGUAUUUUGUUGUUUUUAAUUUUUUCUGGUGCAUGGUUGAACGAGAUAAAAAAUAAAAAAUGAUGUACGAUAUAUAUUGUUUUCUUGUAGGAGGUUCAAAGAUUGCCGUGGAGCAAGUUCAAGAGUUUAGUAUGCCUGUGUGAGCUGUCCAUGUCAUUGCUGACUCUGGGUGCAAUUUUAUUUCUUCACUCUCUUGCUUCAGGUAAAAAAGAAAUAAACUUGUGCGUCUUGACGCCAUGACAAGCUAGCUCUUUGAGCACUUUGGAGACCAUGUGCAUAGUAAGAACUGGAAACAAAUGCUCACUUUCAGUACAAAACAAUGUGGUGGAAAUCUAUGGAUGGAUGAUGUGACACACUCAGUUUAGUCCACGAGUGGUGCUGCCUCGCGUCCGGUUGACGGCCUCCACGAGCGCGAGCAGCCCAUAUCCGGCGGCAAGAUGAAGGUCACCCAUGAACCAUGCUUCCCCUAAUCACCUCCACCUUGUGUGAAUUCGCAGCUGAGAAUAAGCACAAGCACCUACAGUCCCCCGGUGGCUUUGGCCGCACUUGGCCACUAGCUCGUCCACCAUGGUGACUGGCAGCCGUCCAAGUGGAACGCGGACAUCAGUCCAAGUAGAACUAGUUCGUAUAAACUGACUGUUAUGUAUAAUUAGGGGAUCCAAUGUUGAAAAGUUCAAUUAAGCUGUGUGUGGAAAUUCAAAGAAUUAUUGUAGGAAAGUUUACAAGUUUGGUUUCGUGAGGAAAAUGUAUGAUUUUCUAUCAGUAUUUGGUAUGAUUCAUUUGCCUCGGGUGCAACCCAAAACUAGACAAAAA